CUGCUGGGAUGUCCCUGACUCUAAGGCGCGAAAGCGUGGGGAGCAAAAAGGAUUAGAUACCCUUGUAGUCCACGCCCUAAACGAUGCCGACUAGCUGUUUCGAGUGUCGACCCUCGGAGUGGCGAAGCUAACGCGUUAAGUCGGCCGCCUGGGGAGGACGGUCGCAAGACUAAAACUCAAAGGAAUAGACGGGGACUCGCACAAGCGGUGGAGCAUGUGGUUUAAUUCGAGGGUAAGCGAGGAACCUUACCAGGGCUUGAAAUGCUUGGAAAAACCCGCCGAAAGGCAGGUGUAUCUCACAAGGAUGCCAAGCACAGGUGCUGCAUGGUUGUCGUCAGCUCGUGAUUUGAAUUGUUCCCUUAAGUGGGGUAACGAGCGCAACCCCUGUCCCGUGUUACAAGUGUCACGGGAGACCGCCCAGCCCGGAACGCACGAAAAAUUUCGCGCGCUGCGGGCUGGGAGGAAGGUAGGGAUGACGUCAAAUCCGCAUGGCCCUUUGAUGCCCUGGGCUACACACAUGCUACAAUGGCCGAUACAAUGGGUUGCCAAGCCGCAAGGCGGAGCUAAUCCCAUCAAAGUCGGCCUCAGUUCGGAUUGAGGGCUGAAACCCGCCCUCAUGAAGCCGGAAUCGCUAGUAAUCGCGUAUCAGCCAUGGCGCGGUGAAUACGUUCUCGAGUCCUGUACUCACCGCCCGUCAAGCCAAGGGAGCCGGGAAUGGAUAAAGUUCGCUUUAGCGGAUCAGUCCAAGCUCGGUGACAUGGGCUAAGUCGUAACAAGGCACCGGUAGCGGAAGCUGUCGGUG
rnacentral:rRNA from 1 species